CCUACGGGUGGCAGCAGUCGAGAAUCAUUCACAAUGGGGGAAACCCUGAUGGUGCGACGCCGCGUGGGGGAAUGAAGGUCUUCGGAUUGUAAACCCCUGUCAUGUGGGAGCAAAUUAAAAAGAUAGUACCACAAGAGGAAGAGACGGCUAACUCUGUGCCAGCAGCUGCGGUAAUACAGAGGUCUCAAGCGUUGUUCGGAAUCACUGGGCGUAAAGCGUGCGUAGGCUGUUUCGUAAGUCGUGUGUGAAAGGCGCGGGCUCAACCCGCGGACGGCACAUGAUGCUGCGAGACUAGAGUAGUGGAGGGGGAACCGGAAUUCUCGGUGUAGCAGUGAAAUGCGUAGAUAUCGAGAGGAACACUCGUGGCGAAGGCGGGUUCCUGGACAUUAACUGACGCUGAGGCACGAAGGCCAGGGGAGCGAAAGGGAUUAGAUACCCUAGUAGUC
rnacentral:rRNA from 1 species